rnacentral:tRNA from 1 species
GCCUCUUUGGCUCAGUUGGUUAGAGCGCAGGUCUCAUAGAAAUAUGACGCAAGUCUUGCGGUAAUCCUGAGGUCAACAGUUCGAACCUGUUAAGGGGCA